UAGCAAACUAUGCUUAGACCCGGGAGA
rnacentral:sRNA from 1 species